rnacentral:lncRNA from 1 species
AAAUCCUCUAACGAUCGACGGUGAGUCGACGACGAUGAGCAGAUUGACUGAGACAAAUGUACGACGGCAUCUUUAACUUGACUAUGCGUUGUUUUAAAAUGGUUUUUAUUUCUGUUUUGGUGGAUUUCUUCAUUUUUUUGUUUGGGUCGGAAUUUUCGAAGUUCUAUACCUUGCUUUUCACUGGACAUGAAAUGGGUAGAUUUCAUUUCCCUCCCUAUCUGUGUGUGUGUGUGGGCUGAAUCCUUUGCGUAUAUCUCAUCGAUGAUUCAAUUAUUGAGUAAUGUGAAAUGGUUUAGUGUUUGAUUAUUUGGAAUUAGUUUUUUUUAUGUGAUAGCGUAUUGAUUUUGCCUUGGGUUGCUGUAAAUUUUGUAAUUUUCUGAGCUUUUUACUGUCCUUUUUCAAAAAUUAAUUGAGGAUUUCUUGUGGAUAAAAAAUGGCGUUAAACGAAGAAGAAAAAGAGAUUUGACUGGACAAACUGCUCUUAAUUUUCUCUUUAUGUUUUUGUGGACUGCAUUUGCUUUUAUAUUUUUGUAGAGAUCCCUGACGAGUUUGUUAUAUUUAGUUUGGACUAUCAUCUAGAUUUAUGUCAAAAUAUAUGGUUGCCUUGCAUAAACUGUCGUAUAUAAUCUAAAUCCUAUUAUUCUCAUCUCAGGCCUAGAGAGAUGGUACAGUCUAACAAGGAAUACACCGAGGAGGAUGUAAGAGACCAAGUGGUUAAAGGGAUCCCAUUCGAGUCAUCCGAGCAGGGACCCUUUCACUUUCCUGGGUUACGUGGUGAUAUUGAAGCCAUUGAACGUAGUUUCUUUUGGGGGUUUCAACCACUUCUAUGAAGCAGUCGAAGAGAUGAAGAAUGAUUUCUUUAGUGCAAUAGCGGUUCCUUUGGAAUUUUAGCAAUCAAAUGACAUUAUAUAGCUGGACAUUUUCAUUUUUCAAAUCUGUGGAAGUGAAUGUAACUCUUCAGCCAUUAUGAC